rnacentral:rRNA from 1 species
UUGAACGCUGGCGGCAUGCCUUACACAUGCAAGUCGAACGGUAGAGGGGCAACCCUUGAGAGUGGCGAACGGGUGAGUAAUAUAUCGGAACGUGCCCAGUCGUGGGGGAUAACGCAGCGAAAGCUGCGCUAAUACCGCAUACGAUCUAUGGAUGAAAGCGGGGAUCGCAAGACCUCGCGCGAUUGGAGCGGCCGAUAUCAGAUUAGGUAGUUGGUGGGGUAAAAGCCCACCAAGCCGACGAUC